rnacentral:rRNA from 1 species
AUUGAACGCUGGCGGCAGGCCUAACACAUGCAAGUCGAGCGAGCGGCGGACGGGUGAGUAAUGUCUGGGAAACUGCCAGAUGGAGGGGGAUAACUACUGGAAAAGGUAGCUAAUACCGCAUAACAUCAGAUAUGCCCAGGUGGGAUCAGCUAGUCGGUGGGGUAACGGCUCACCUAGGCGACGAUCCCUAGCUGGUCUGAGAGUAUGACCAGCCACACUGGAACUGCGACACGGUCCAGACUCCUCCGGUAGGCAGCAGUGGGGAAUAUUCCGCAAUGGGCGCAAGCCUGAUGCAGCCAUGCCGCGUGUGUGAAGAAGGCCUUCGGGUUGUAAAGCACUUUCAGCGGGGAGGCGUUACCCGCAGAAGAAGCACCGGCUAACUCCGUGCCAGCAGCCGCGGUAAUAC